rnacentral:rRNA from 1 species
GAUGAACGCUGGCGGCGUGCCUAAUACAUGCAAGUCGAGCGAACAGACGAGGAGCUUGCUCCUCUGACGUUAGCGGCGGACGGGUGAGUAACACGUGGAUAACCUACCUAUAAGACUGGGAUAACUUCGGGAAACCGGAGCUAAUACCGGAUAAUAUAUUGAACCGCAUGGUUCAAUAGUGAAAGACGGUUUUGCUGUCACUUAUAGAUGGAUCCGCGCCGCAUUAGCUAGUUGGUAAGGUAACGGCUUACCAAGGCAACGAUGCGUAGCCGACCUGAGAGGGUGAUCGGCCACACUGGAACUGAGCCACGGUCCAGACUCCUGAGGGAGGCAGCAGUAGGGAAUCGUCCGCAAUGGGCGAAAGCCUGACGGAGCAACGCCGCGUGAGUGAUGAAGGUCUUCGGAUCGUAAAACUCUGUUAUUAGGGAAGAACAAAUGUGUAAGUAACUAUGCACGUCUUGACGGUACCUAAUCAGAAAGCCACGGCUAACUACGUG